rnacentral:rRNA from 1 species
GAUGAACGCUAGCGGCAGGCCUAAUACAUGCAAGUCGAGGGGCAGCGGGUGUAGCAAUACAUGCCGGCGACCGGCGCACGGGUGCGUAAUGCGUAUGCAACUUACCUCUCACAGGGGAAUAGCCCCGAGAAAUCGGGAUUACGACCUCAUAAUAUUUAUCAUUCGCAUGUUUCAUAAAUUAAAUCUCCGGUGGUUAGAGAUGGGCAUGCGUGACAUUAGCUAGUUGGUGAGGUAACGGCUCACCAAGGCUGCGAUGUGUAGGGGUUCUGAGAGGACAGUCCCCCACACUGGUACUGAGACACGGACCAGACUCCUACGGGAGGCAGCAGUAAGGAAUAUUGGGCAAUGGACGCAAGUCUGACCCAGCCAUGCAGCGUGCAGGAUGAAGGCCCUAUGGGUUGUAAACUGCUUUUGUACGGGAAGAAACUUCCGCACGUGUGCGGAAUUGACGGUACCGUGCGAAUAAGCACCGGCUAACUCCGUGCCAGCCGCCGCGGUAAAAC